UCAUUUCUCCCCAGCUCAUGAUGCAUCUUUCAAUGCAGACUUUCCUUCUGACCCUCCAUAUUCAAUCCACCUGUGGGCUCUAACAUUAGACACAUCCAUAACUUGACCCGUUUGCACCACAUUCUCCAUUACCAUCUGGAUCCCAGCCACUAUCUUAUGCUUGGGUCACUGUGCAAGUUCCUAGAGGACCUCCUUGCUUCUGGUCCCUUCUGUUCACUUUAAUUUAACAGGUAAUCCUGUUGAGACACAUCAGAUCAUGUCCUUCCUUUGGUAAAACCCUCUAAUAGGGUUUUCUUUUGCCACAGAAAAGCCAACGUUAUAAGACAGCCCCAAAGAAUCUCAACUAGGGCUCCAUCUCCUUGGCCACCCUGGUCUCAUUUCCCCUUCUUGCGAUUCCCUCUGUCCCAGGCCCACUGGCCACCACCCUGUUCCCUGAGCAUCACGAGGACACCCCAAUAGCAUCCCCCUCUGAUAUGCUGCCCCUCAUCCUGGAAUGUUCUGUUCCCCAGAUAUUCCCCAUGCCCUUCAAGUCUUUCCCUGUAUUACCAAUCUGGACAUGUUUGAAGGUCCUGUUCACAAUGAAAUGCCUUCACACCCCAGCCAGCACUCCUGCUACCCUAUCUACGUUAUUUUCCUGAGAUACAGCACACUUGGUUAACCUCAUUUGUUCCCAUUCCCCUCCUCAACUGGAGGAAGGCAUUAGCUUUGUCCAUUUUCUAAUCUAUCCACAGUGCGUGACACAUGAGUAGGUUUCCUUUAAGGACUGGUAAAUGUGAGAGGAGAUCAACCCUGACCUACAGGUCACAACAAGUGAUGAAAAUUUCCUUGAAGGCCCUGAUGGACAGGGAGAAUGGACAGAGAAGAAACAACAGAUCAAAGUUCUUGGACGGACAGAGUGAGCCGGACUACAGGCCCUCACAGUAGACAUAUGCUAGCUGUGCUGAUUCUUCUGCCUUACCUCCCAAGUGCUCUGAUUAAAGGCACAUGCCAUGAACUGCACCAGCUUGGGCACCUGUGUAUUUUUCUGAAGCUUACUGAGUUGUACAUCAAGCCGUAGUACCGCAAUGGCGCAGGCAGAAUUCCCGUCUAAUAAACCCUGCUGCUGCUGUCAUGGGACCCAUCACUACUCAGCCCUUAGCUGAGGACCUCAUAGAAGUCUGAGCCUCUCUCUGGGGAGCGUCAACUACUUCUGUGUUCUAAAGCCACAGUAUACCUGGUGAUGCCCAGUCCAUAGUGGUGCCCAUUCCCAGCUGAUGCCUAUCCAAUGCUGGGCAUCUAGAUUGUAUCUUUUGUAUCUGGACAGCCCAUAGGUGCUUUGUAGUAAAACCAAACCAAACCGAACUCACCUUCCUUCCCCCAACUCUGGAUCCACACAUGGCACAGGCACCCUGUUAUCCCAUUCUGCCACUCGGCAUACAAAUCUGGGACUAGCCGAUAGUCUCCUCUCACAUUUCAUCAAUGCCUAACUUCUACCAGUUUCCCCUCAGAGCUUUUACACAUUUUCUUCACCUCUGCUGAAUACCAGAAUCUGGAAAACAACCCCGUGCUCAGGCUACGCCAGGACUCAGAAGUUCUUUAGAGCGUUUUUUGUCAUCCCACAGAGUCAACCUAGAGGGCUGUUGCAGCCGGCCAUCUCCAGAGCCUCUACUCUCGCAGCUCCCCUCACAGCCCCACCCUGCAAUGCUGAGGGCUUGUGACCACACCUGCCUCCGGUCAGGCUUACUCCUGCUUAUCUCAUGGGGCUGCAGCUGCUGCCUCCACCUAGCAAGUCUUCCCUGCCCACCAUUCUAAGGUCCAGUAGGAUUUCUCCUCUUCUCUCCUCGAAAUGCAGGGGGAAAAAAAUCUGCCACUGUGCUCAAACUCUUAAAUUAUGUGCUUCUGCCCUCACCCCAUGACAGUGCCAUGCUAUGACAUCCCCACUCUCAUUUGCUAUCACCUGCACCUGGUAUUCUGCUUGACCUCAUGCAAAUAAAUACUCAACACAUACUUGCAGGACAGCUUUGCAGAGAAAGAAUUUGGAAAAGAUGGUGUUUAUGCUAAAUUACAUUUGGAUACAUUAUUUUUAUUUUCACCAACUUGGUUACCAAAUGUAGUUCUCUGCUAUGGAGAGGUCCAGUACAUGAGAAACUGCUGCAGGUUCUUUACUGGCCUCCUAUUUUACACUAAAAUGUCUCCUAAGAUUCUUUCAAUAGUUUAAAAAAUUGUGGAAAAAAACUAUAAAUAAAAUAUUCUGCUAGG